GGUGUCGACUAGGAUAUCUUUUAG
rnacentral:siRNA from 1 species